rnacentral:rRNA from 1 species
CCUGAGAACCCAAAAGAUCGAAUGGGGAGAUUCAUCGUCAGCUCAUUUUCUAUAUGUAUGAGUUAUGAUGCGGGUUACUAUUUAUAGUAUUGCCUGCACAUUCUUAUAUAUUUAGUUGCAAGAUGUUGUCGGCGUGCACUUCUCCCCUAGUAGGACGUCGCGACCCGUUGGAUGUCGGUUUACGGCCCGAUUGAUAGACUUUAAUGUUAAUUUGAAUAAGAAAUAAUAUUAAAGAUCAUUGGUGUUUUCUAACCGACUAUUCGGCGGUACUCGUACGGUAUUUAGCCGCAUUUAUAUUUAAUAUAUGCGUUCAUGCCUGUUGCAAGCAAGGCUAAUUUCAUAGUAGUACGGCCCUAGUGCCGUCGCUAGUAUUAGCCAGCUGUUGGUUUAACAGUGUUCUAGGACUGGCUAAAAUUAAAAAUUACCGGUCGGCGAUGCUACUGCUUUGGGUACUUUCAGG